GAUGAACGCUGACAGAAUGCUUAACACAUGCAAGUCUUUGGCGAAGCUGUGCUCGCACAGCCUAGCCAAGGCGGACGGGUGAGUAACGCGUAAGGAACUUGCCCUGCAGUCAGGGAUAACAGACGGAAACGACUGAUAAGACCUGGUAAAGUCAGGCGGACUCAUGUCCAGCCUGAUGAAAAGAGAUGCUGCAGGAGAGCCUUGCGUCCUAUUAGCUUGUUGGUGGGGUAACGGCCCACCAAGGCGAUGAUAGGUAGCCGGCCUGAGAGGGUGGACGGCCACAAGGGGACUGAGAUACGGCCCUUACUCCUACGGGAGGCGGCAGUGGGGAAUAUUGGACAAUGGGGGCAACCCUGAUCCAGCAAUUCUGUGUGCACGAUGAAGGUUUUCGGAUUGUAAAGUGCUUUCAGCAGGGAAGAAAAAAAUGACGGUACCUGCAGAAGAAGCGACGGCUAAAUACGUG
rnacentral:rRNA from 1 species